GCUUUUUGUGGGGUCUCAUCGAGUUAGAGUGUGCCAUUUUUUCAUAUUGCCCAUUGGUAGUGACUUGUGUAGUGAUUUCCAGCCUGCUGGGUAUUGUGGGUGAUUUCCAUUUUCUAGCAAUGAGCAGGUUUGCCGAGAUUAAGAUAUGAAAAGCUAAGGUUUUUUGAGCGGGUGUUAAAUUUUUGGGAAACAUGAGCAAUACGAAAGC